GAUGAACGCUAGCGACAGGCUUAACACAUGCAAGUCGAGGGGCAGCAGGGGAGUAGCAAUACUCCCGCUGGCGACCGGCGCACGGGUGAGUAACACGUAUGCAACCUGCCCUUGUCAGGGGGAUAAGCGGAAGAAAUUCCGUCUAAUACCGCAUAACGCUGCGGGGAGACAUCUCCCUGCAGCCAAAGAUUUAUCGGACAAGGAUGGGCAUGCGGCGCAUUAGCUUGUUGGCGGGGUAACGGCCCACCAAGGCGACGAUGCGUAGGGGUUCUGAGAGGAAGGUCCCCCACACUGGUACUGAGACACGGACCAGACUCCUACGGGAGGCAGCAGUGAGGAAUAUUGGUCAAUGGCCGGGAGGCUGAACCAGCCAAGUCGCGUGAGGGAAGACGGUCCUAUGGAUUGUAAACCUCUUUUGUCAGGGAGCAAAAACUGCCACGCGUGGCAGGAUGAGAGUACCUGAAGAAAAAGCAUCGGCUAACUCCGUGCCAGCAGCCGCGGUAAUACGGAGGAUGCGAGCGUUAUCCGGAUUUAUUGGGUUUAAAGGGUGCGUAGGCGGACAGUUAAGUCAGCGGUAAAAUUGAGAGGCUCAACCUCUUCCCGCCGUUGAAACUGAUCGUCUUGAGUGGGCGAGAAGUAUGCGGAAUGCGUGGUGUAGCGGUGAAAUGCAUAGAUAUCACGCAGAACUCCGAUUGCGAAGGCAGCAUACCGGCGCCCAACUGACGCUGAAGCACGAAAGCGUGGGUAUCGAACAGGAUUAGAUACCCUGGUAGUCCACGCAGUAAACGAUGAAUACUAAUUGUUCGGGUCGAGUGAGAUCUGAGUGAUACAGCGAAAGCGUUAAGUAUUCCACCUGGGGAGUACGCCGGCAACGGUGAAACUCAAAGGAAUUGACGGGGGCCCGCACAAGCGGAGGAACAUGUGGUUUAAUUCGAUGAUACGCGAGGAACCUUACCCGGGCUCAAACGACACAGGAAUGAUCUGAGAAAUCAGGCAGUCCUUCGGGACCUGUGUCGAGGUGCUGCAUGGUUGUCGUCAGCUCGUGCCGUGAGGUGUCGGCUUAAGUGCCAUAACGAGCGCAACCCCCAUCGACAGUUGCCAGCAGGUCAAGCUGGGCACUCUGUCGAGACUGCCGGCGCAAGCUGUGAGGAAGGCGGGGAUGACGUCAAAUCAGCACGGCCCUUACGUCCGGGGCGACACACGUGUUACAAUGGCAGGUACAGCGGGAAGCCACCUGGCGACAGGGAGCGGAACCCGAAAGCCUGUCUCAGUUCGGAUUGGAGUCUGCAACUCGACUCCAUGAAGCUGGAUUCGCUAGUAAUCGCGCAUCAGCCACGGCGCGGUGAAUACGUUCCCGGGCCU
rnacentral:rRNA from 1 species